CGAUGUCGCUGUCGCUUCUUCUCCCUUUUUUCUUUUUUUUUUCUCUUCCCCUCUCCUUCUUCUCCCUUUUUUCUUUUUUUUUCUCUUCCCCUCUCCUUCCCCUCCCUUCGUCCUUCUUUCUUUCCUUCUUCUUCCUCUCCUCUCCAGCGACGGCGGCCGUCGUCGCCUCUCCACUUUUUUUUUCUUUUUUUCUUCUCAUCCUUCCCUUCUCCUUUUUUUCCCUCUUUCCCUUUUUCUCCCCCCUCUCCCUCUUUUUUUCAGCGACGGCGCGGCUGCCGCCUUUCCUCUUUUUUUCUUCUUUUUUCGUUUCCUCAUUCAUCCCUUCCUCUCUGUUUUGACGACGUCCACCGCCAUGACAGGGCGCGAUGGCAGCGGUGCCGCCACCGCCUCUCCCUCAAUGGUGACAAAAAGAUAAACAAAAACGCAAAUUAAUUUCCCUAAUUUUUAUCUUCUCAAUUUUAGUCGGUUUUGGGCUUGCAUGUUGUUAGAGGAUGCCUCUAGCGAGUCCUCCAGCGACAUGCAAAUCUCGAUCUACAAAUUUAGGGUUUGAAUCUUGUUUUUAAAGUCCUUUUCUGAUUUGUUGAUUUGUUUUAUUUUUUUUCUUUUUUAUACGGGGCUAGAAAUCGGGGGUGAGGAACGGGGAGACGGUGACCUAACUUACCGGAUAAAAUCGACAAAAGUGUGAAUAAGUGUGGAGACAACCUUUAG
rnacentral:lncRNA from 1 species